ACAUUUUUAAAAUAUGUCUAGUUCUUCCUUAUCCUCUCCCAAAUACUCAUGAAUUUAUAUUAAAUAGAUUGUACUUUGGGGCUCUGUCUCAGUCUUGGGGGUAGUGGCUAGUCCUUAUUUUUGGCAUUCUUAGCUUACUUAGAAUUCUUUUGCUUCCUACUAGCCAAUCCUUUGAUACCCUAAUCCCCUAUAAUUAACAAUUCUUUAUCUUGCCCUAUUCAAGUGGUUGGACUCUGAAAAAUAAUUCAAUCCAUAACAGGAUGGAGUAAAUUUAAGGUGAGAUGCAAGUGAAUCUGAAUGGUACAACUGGAAGAUUUAAGUUGCUAAUGUCAGUGCUCCACUCAGAUCCCGUAGUAUUUGGUGGGUUUUCUUUUCCAACAGCCAGUACCCACAGCUCUUUUACAGAGAAUAUCUACGGAGAGCCAGAAAACCUGAAAAUUGCCUCUUCCCUCUCUCUUCUACCCCAUAAACAAUGUGAGUAUAAAAGUUCAUUACUUUGCCUUGAAUCGGGAGGAGGAGGAGUGUGGUAACUUUUAAAGGAUCAGACUGAAGCUACAAUAUCUAUAGUACUUUGAUACUAUGCCCUUGUUACUUCCCCAACUCUUCUAUCGGUGUCUUCUGAUAAUUGUUUGACAAGAAUUUUAACCUCAGGUUCUGCUUCUGAGGAAGUUGACUUAAGACACUCAGGCCAUCUGUUCUACGAGUUCUAUUUCAGAGUGUAUGUUUUUAAGAUUGUAAUAUUUGAGAUAAUUGUACUCCGUACAACUUUGGCCUGUGUCCUCCUAUCUACUUGGAGAUAAUGGCUUCUGUAUAUCAUGAAAUGCAUUGAGGAAGUGCAAAGGCCCCCUAAUGUGUUCCCCUCCUAGUGAAAUCAAAGAUAAAGGAGUGACAAACCUUAGGACAGAAGCACUAGGUUCCCCCAAAGCAAUGGGUAAUCUUUCCCAUUUAUCCUUCCAUUAAGCAUCUCCUGAGAUGAGGGUUUUUCUUGAAAUAAAUGACAGUGGGAGGAGAUUGUCCUUCUAGUUUUGUAACCUGAAAGUCCCAGGCGUUUGUUUACAUAUGGAGGGGCAGAGGAUGUAGUGCCCAGACUGUCAAUUCUAAUGGUUGUUUUAAUCAACAUUUUAAGCAAGUAGAAAUUUUGCACAGCCUUCAUGUUAUUCUGAUGGACAGCUUCAUCAACAUGUUUUCUCUCUGAAUUCUGUAGUGAGAAUGUAGGUGCGAUUCCAAACUGAUAGCAGGGAGAGACAAAACUAAAGUUUAAAAGAUGUUUCUCUAAUCUACUUUCUCAUUGCAUCACAAGCCAAACUGCUCCGGGCUACUCUGACACUUAAAAUAGUUGAAUACACUUUCUAUCUAUUUCUAGAUGCCGUGUUUUCCGCUAUGGUUUCUCUAUGGUUUAUUUUUCCAAAAGGAUCCAGCAUCCAUUGCUCAUUUUUAAAAUUCUGGCAAGAACCAAAGCCUUGCUUUGGUACACAUUUCAUAAAUUAACGGGAACAUAAUAGUAACUUCGAUGGUAAAAAAUAUUAUCACUCUGGAAAAAGGAAAAACAGAGCUAUAUGCUUCAAACCUUUGGUUCAGCUAUUCAUAACCUUUUGUGAGAGGUUUUUGUUUUUUGUUUUUUUCUCCCAACAUAACUCAGAGUUCUGGUAAAAAGCGGAGAGAAUGCAGAAAACUGCUUAGGUGACUUGCAUAUCCAGGGAGGACGCAAUGGGAUCUCUCCAGGGUGUUUGACGAGUGCUUUCUCUGCCUUGCUUGUGUCAGUUCCAGAAGAAAUAAAAAUGACGGCGGUAGGCUAGUAAGGACUCGAAACCCAAAGCAAAAUGCUUCCCAUCCGGAGCAGCUGUGCCAUCACUCCUACGAAAUGACGGCGGUAGGCUAGUAAGGACUCGAAACCCAAAGCAAAAUGCUUCCCAUCCGGAGCAGCUGUGCCAUCACUCCUACGAAAGCCUCGCGCCGGGACACCGGAAAUGUAGGAGAACCAGUCUCUGAAGCGCGGGCUCAACGGCUGCUGGGUACUGCGCAGGCGUUCUGGAGUCCCUCACCGCCGAGCAAAGUGGGCUUGAAGCGGCCAAAAGGUUCUCUGUGGAGGUAGCACUCCUUCUUUGUUUCACUUUGUGGUUCGUGCAGGGGAAGAAAUGGGACUGUCUUCUAAGCGACGGUUGCUGCUGCUGGUAUAAUUCCACACACCCCUCAAAACGUGCGAAAGGAUAAAUAGAUUUCUUGUUACCUCAAGACUCUAUUCUAACAGCUGUCCAGUGUUGAUUUCAGGGGACGUAUUUUUUAAUUGUUUUUUUGAAAUUCUAUUAGAGCAAGUUGAAAUGUAAUUAGCGUUCCAGCCUACCAAAUUUAUGCGUCUGAGUCAAACAUAUUUAAGUGUUACUGUAGCUUCAGAAAAAAGCUAUUGAUUCUGAAGUGGUGUGUUUCGAUUGCUUUUUUUUUUUUUUUGUACAAUUGGAUUUAAGGUAUUGCUACAGAAGUCUUAGUAACAAGCGUUUGGUUUUGUAGACUUUAUCUCUAUACCAGUGGAAAAUCAGUGACUGACUUGUGAGCAAAACAAUUGCGUUUUGGACUUGUGUUCAGCUCUUGGAAUAACUUGGAGUAUGGGUCUGACUGGCAUUCCCUGUAUUAAUAUCAAGAACUGAGCUGCAUGAAAGUCAAGGCCUGCUCUCAAGACCCUCAGCUGAGCACUCACUUCCUCUGGCUGGUUGGCAAGGUGGCUCAUGUUCUGCUCCUGGUACAGUCUCUAGAAAAGAGCAAAUGUUGAGGAAACUGAAAUUGGCAAUACUAUAUGGACUAGACAGAGAUAACUGGCAGAUGUGUCCUUGGGAGAAAGCCAAGAGAGCCAGGAUCAAUUCCUUAAGAAGAAAUUUUCAUUUUUCUCUUCCAAAUGCAGAAGAAAUGUAUCCAGCAAGUAGGAAUCCCUGAUUUUUUUUUUCCUUUUUAAGGUUCUGAGAGUCCUGAUGCUCUAAAAAGUCAUCAUUUUUCAUUGAUGAAAAUUCUUACCCUGCAAGGAUCUUUUUUUUUUGAAGAUGCAUCCAGGAAUACUGUGGCAGAUAAUGAGAAUGGCUGGGGUGAUUUAGAAGACCUAUUUUUUUCUCCAAAAAAUGACUAACAAAGGCCACAUGAAGGAAAUUCUUUGUUCACUAAAAAUGCAAAUCUUUAUAUAAUGACUACAUGAAUGUGCAUAUUUAUCAGGCUAUAUUUACUAAAAGCUUAAACACUAAUUGGCUACUCAAAAAAUAGUCUAAAUAUUGGAGAGAAAAAUUAAAACUUAUCAGAAAAUCUAUGAAAUCUUUAUAGGGCAAAAUAAAAAUAGACAAAAAAAAGUUAUCUAAAUUGACAACCCAUUUCCACUAAAAAUUUUAUUCUGUCAAGCAUCCUUAUUUACUUUUUCUCUCAUAAGAGAUUUGUAAAUUUGUUACAUUUACCAUUUUUCCUUAUGUGAAUAUUUAAAUUAUACCACAUUCCUGAUGUACAUUAUGAUUAUAGCAGAAUAAAAACUUUGAACCAUCCUGUAUAUAUGAUGUCAUUAUAAACAAAUAAUAUUUACAAGGUAUGAAAAGUUACAUGAAUAAAUUAUGUGUAUUCAUGAUUCCUGCAUUAAGGAGGUUUAAACUUGAGUUCCUGAAGCAUGACAUAAAUAAAACACAUAAAAUAGCAAGGGUCAUGUCAUAUGAUAGCAUGAUAAAUGACAAAUAAGAAACGUUGAAAGAAUUUUAAUAUGUCAUUAAUCUUUUGGUUGUGGAAAAUUGAAGAAUAAGUCAUGAGAAUGAAGAAAUUAGCAUGAUUGUGGAAAGACACCUGGGUCUGAAAUAUAAUAAAUCAUUGGAGAACAUUAUAGCCCAGAAACACAUGUGAAAAUUUUGAGAUUCAGAAUCAUUUUGGCUGCUAUAAAUGGCUUCUUUGAGUCUAUGUUUCCUUAUUAUAAAAUAGAUUAGUGUUAGAUUAGAUAAUGUAUGUGAAAUGCUUAAGGGUGCUAAAUACAGAGUAAAUGUUCAAUAUGUGGAUUAUCUAUAUUGUGAAAUAAAAUUGUAGAGAUAGUUUUGGAUUCCACUAGAGAGAACAUUUAAUGCCAAGCUCUACAGUUUCAAGCUUAUUCUUUAUACCUUAUUUCUGUAGGAAGUUGAAAAUUAUUGGGGUGCCUGGGUGGCUCAGUCGGUUAAGCGUCCGACUUCGGCUCAGAUCAUGAUCUCAUGAUUCGUGGGUUCAAGCCCCACAUCAGGCUCU